AGCGAACGCUGGUGGCAGGCUUAACACAUGCAAGUCGAACGGGCACCUUCGGGUGUCAGUGGCAGACGGGUGAGUAACACGUGGGAACGUACCCUUCGGUUCGGAACAACUCAGGGAAACUUGAGCUAAUACCGGAUACGCCCUUACGGGGAAAGGUUUACUGCCGAAGGAUCGGCCCGCGUCUGAUUAGCUAGUUGGUGAGGUAAUGGCUCACCAAGGCGACGAUCAGUAGCUGGUCUGAGAGGAUGAUCAGCCACACUGGGACUGAGACACGGCCCAGACUCCUACGGGAGGCAGCAGUGGGGAAUAUUGGACAAUGGGCGAAAGCCUGAUCCAGCCAUGCCGCGUGAGUGAUGAAGGCCUUAGGGUUGUAAAGCUCUUUCGACGGGGACGAUAAUGACGGUACCCGUAGAAGAAGCCCCGGCUAACUUCGUGCCAGCCGCCG
rnacentral:rRNA from 1 species